UAAGGAAUAUUGGUCAAUGGGCGCAAGCCUGAACCAGCCAUGCCGCGUGCAGGAAGAAGGCCCUAUGGGUUGUAAACUGCUUUUAUACGGGAAGAAACUUCCGCUCGUGAGCGGAACUGACGGUACCGUACGAAUAAGGGUCGGCUAACUCCGUGCCAGCAGCCGCGGUAAUACGGAGGACCCGAGCGUUAUCCGGAUUUAUUGGGUUUAAAGGGUGCGUAGGCGGGAGAAUAAGUCAGAGGUGAAAGCCAGCAGCUCAACUGUUGAACUGCCUUUGAUACUGUUUUUCUUGAGUAUGGUUGAAGUGGGCGGAAUGUGACAUGUAGCGGUGAAAUGCGUAGAUAUGUCCCAGAACACCGAUUGCGAAGGCAGCUCACUAAGCCAUCACUGACGCUGAUGCACGAAAGCGUGGGGAGCAAACAGG
rnacentral:rRNA from 1 species